CUUUGCGAUCUGCCCGCCUCAGCCUCCCAAAGUGCUAGGAUCGCAGGCAUGAGCCCACUGUGCCCGGCCUAUUGCUGCCUUACUAAUACACCCUCUUCCACCAUUCUCAUGUCAGGGGACAUACAGUGGUCAGAGGAUUGAUGCAUGAGUAAGUAAUAUUUAAUAGUUACUCAGGUCUUAGAUGUUCUGCCAUUUAGAUCCUGUAAGUCUGAGUUUUUCUACUAAGGCAAUUGUUUCGGACGUUAAAAAUAAUAAAAUCAGUUUUUCUCUUUUCUGACUAUGAUUAGAAAUGAUUUACAAAUUUGGAGAAUUUAGUUAAGAAAACAAUCAAUUAUCAAAAAGGGAAGGCUGUAUCUUGUUGUCUAAAUAGUGUGUGUAAUAUAUAAAAAGGAUGAAAUGAUUCUUUUUCAUAGAAAACUGGGAAGAUUAUGAUAAAUUUGAAAAAAAUUGAUUACAAUAUAGAACAUUGUAUAUUUAUAUCCUGAGUGUGUGGCAUAAGCUAUAGAAUGCGGUAAAAAUUCAAAGAAAGGUCAGGUUAACACGAAUGACAUAGGAACAGGUCUGUGUAGAAGAGGGGAUUGAUGCAACUUGAAGGAUGUUCAGGAUGCAAAAAGGUGCAACAACAACAAAAAAAAACAUAGAAAAUUUGAUUACUUGACACUAUUUUGACUUUAGCUUUAACACCUAAUUAUCUUUGGGUGAGAUAAGACAAUUGAUGUCAGUUACUUCACUUGAUGACUAGAUUUUUAUUUCUAAAGCGCUGCUUGUACUCCCAAACUUUCCCUGUUUUUACCAUUUUGGUCAAUUUGGUAUUGAUCACUUCAACAAAAGUUGGUUGAGUAAAACUAUUUAUACAAAGACAUAAGUUUGAUUAAAGUAAUGGGUUUUCAUUCUAAAUGUCUAGGUUUCCAUCAGAUCCUAAAACCCAUGAAAUCAACAGAGCAUUUCUUUGGGAAUCAGCUUUGAUGACUGUCCAUGUCUUAAAGAGAAAAAUGAAAAAGGAACGAAACUUCCAACCUGGAGUACAGCGGCACGAUCUCCAUUCACUGCAACCUCUACCUCCCGGGUUCAAGUGAUUCUCCUGCCUCAGCCUCCCCAGUAGCUGGGAUUACAGGCACCCACCAUCACGCCCCGCUGAUUUUUGUAUUUUUAGUAGAGACAAGGUUUCCCCAUGUUGGCCAGGCUGGUCUUGAGCUCCUGACCUUGUGAUCCACCUGCCUCCACCUCCCAAAGUGCUGGGAUUACAGGCGUGAGCCACCAAUUCCUCUUUUCCUUCGUGGAGUAUACAUUCUGCCUACACGAUUUCCAGUCAGAACAACAAGGCUCAGGUAAUAGGCACACCCUGUCUGGAGACUUCACAGGGAAUAUGAUCAACCCUCCUGCUUGCAGAGUUUCCAAGGAGCGGGUGUUGUGAGUAGGGGGCCAGCAACAAGAGACUGGAGUAAUCAGUAGUACAAUUAGUUGCCUAUGUGUGAGUUUAUACCUGUGUCUGCACAUAUGUGUGUGUAUGUGACAGAGAGAAAGCAAAGAGGAAGAGAAAAAGGAGUGAGAGA
ensembl:lncRNA